rnacentral:lncRNA from 1 species
AUGCUGCUGCACAUUCAUUUCACCAUCAUCCAUUUUUGCGGUUUCAUUCCUCCCCUGGACCAAUCAGGAAAACAUAACAUAGUUAAUGUAUUAAAGUCUGUUAUUGCUGUAAAGUCCUACCCAGAGCCAUAUAGAGUGAGAGUUGCGACAACUCCAUUGACUCCAAUGGAACGCUUUUUUUACAGAAAUGGCGGCUUGUGGAGCCUCUCAAUAGUUCCCGGAAGUAGCAGCAAACCGAUGCUGCGCCGUAGAGAUGCAGCAGAACAAACUGUUUGCGACGCACUUUUAAAAGGUGAAGGAUUAGUGGUUCUUCACCACAGGACUGUUCUGUGAUGGAGCAUCAGUAAUGAUGCAGGUCAGGAGUACUGAGGGGACCAUGGUGAGAAUGAAAACAAAAGGUAUGUUUCAAAUAAACCAGUAAUAAAGUAGUGUUGUACAUGUGUAUUGUACUGCUGUUUUAUUUAAGGAAUCAUACUAAACUAAACAUGAAAUGCAUAUUAUGAAUAAUAAUUUAAGGAAUCAUACUGCAGUGAGGACCAAUGAUGUUAUAGGCUGUCGGUCAGUGAUGUUGGCUGGGUGCUGGACUGGUAGGUGGAGGAUUAGUGUUGGCUGGGUGCUGGAAGGUGGAGGAGCUGUUUGCUGGUUGUUGAAGCUUGGCUACUGUUGGUCCUUUUCCUCUUUUUAGAUUGGCUCUUGCUUCCAAGAUGUCCAUCGUUUAAGUAUUGUUGUUUUUCUGUCAUUUCGUAUUUUUUUAGCCUCAAUCCUCAACCUCAGCCGUAUAAAUCUUUUGGAGAUUUUUCCCUCUACUCCACAGCAUGAUGGAAGCCUGCUGGAGAGUGACUGAGCUUCUUUCUCCAACACAUCCACUGCAUUGGGGAGCUCCAUGAGGUAGGAACUACUCUUGGACCUAAAUAGUUUCUCAAUUUCUUGGGUGAAGUCAUAGGCUUCUUGGGAGGGACGACAAAGAGCACCUGCCUUGAAUUCUUUUAAGUUUAGUAAGAUACUGUUAUUUCCAGCAGGAUUGUCAUCUGUUUGCCGUGUUGCAGUUUUGCAUUUUCCACAGAUGCUGGCAAAUCGGAUUAAUUUGUGGACAAUGUAGCCUGCGAGAUGGAAGAGAAUACAUUUCUCUGUUUUUGUGAGGUCAGGUGCUGUUCUGUUCUCCACCAUCAGCUGUUCCACUCUGACUGAUGGAGUGACGUUUUGUUUCACUGUUUCCAGGAAGUCUGCCAAAAAACUACUGUCAUCUUCCUGGUAGCUCCCAGAGGUGAUGGCGCUGAAGAACUGACCUACGGAUA